UAAAAUAAAUGCCCCUAUUGUCUCUUGUCUUUAUUUUCUAAAUCCUCUCCCAGUUUACCACUGAGUCCCACAUAGUACUGAUGGGUUUCUUCUCUCAUUAUAAUUCCUUUAGAGUCGCUGUGGCACCACCUACUGGAGGCUAUGUGCCAUGGCCAAUAUGGCACUGGCCACUACAGGCCAUGUGCUAAGCCCCACCCUUCUUCAUCUGAGUUGAAUUACGACUUCCUACUCCCCUUUAUAGUGUCCUGUUUCAUUUUCCCACACUCCCAUCCAAUGCUGGCAUGCCACGUCAGCUGGUCCACCCCCUAAGCCCUGUCUCCAGCCUGGUCAUAUUUAACCAUCGUUCUCCCAGCCAGGCCCCUCAGAAGCUCCAUGACCUCCUUAUUCCUCCCAUCUGUGGUUUUCUUGGUGCCUGCAAUAAAGGCAUUUUAUUGUUUUAUUACUUUCUACUCCCUCCGAAAUCUAUCAUUUAUGGUGACUCAGACGGUGGGGGGUGUGAGGCCUCAUGAAGGGAAGGGACUUUCCCUCCCUUGGCUUGAGGCUCCCCCCUCCUGGCCAACGAGCCCUUUUUCCUUUGUCUGGAUAUUUACUGUUGCCAGCCUGCAUCCAAUACCGGCUUGCUCCAGUUCUCACAGUAACAGAGAGGAACAAUGGAAACUAGAUAAACAGGCUAGCAGACUGGCAGUUGCUAAGGCAGAUGCCCAAUAUCAACAUGAGCUUCUAGUAAUGGCACUCGGGGUUCCUAAAGUAGACACGCCUAAACAGGUAGAUGCCAAACAAGGCGGUGCCAGCAACAAUGCCCGAGCCCCUCCUGGACCAUGCUUCAGAUACAGCAAUGAAGGACACUGGGCAUGAGCCUGCCCCAAUCCGAGACCACCCAAGAAGCCUUGUCCCAUCUGCAACCUCGAGGGCCACUGGAAAUGCGACUGCCCUGCCCACCAGAGAGUGGGUAAGUCAUCCAUCUCCCUACCCUCACAGGACAACCUGUCACCACGGGACUCUGAUUGCUGAUCUUCCUGGGCAUCACCGCUGAAGAUUGAUGGGGCUCAGGCUCCAUGGCCCCCAUUAAGGUAUCCUACUUGGAGCCCUGAGUCUUGCUGGAAGUCUCAGGUCUUUCUGAUGAAUUUUUAUCCACUCUGAAGUUGAGAAACAAUGGUGUAGGGCUUGGUGCAUGGUGGGCAAGUACUCUACCACUUAGCCACAAAAAUACAUUUUGAAGAAGAAAGAAAAAUUCAAAUUUACAGAAAAUAUCAGUACAACGGAAACACAAAAGAAUCAACUACAGUGGAUCCUCAAGUUACAACCGGCCUGACAUACAAACAACUUGGACUAUGACUAGAAUUUUAGUUUUAACUUACUCCCAAAGUCUUGAGUUAUGACACAGAUGUACUUCCUGACUGUCUCAGAUACAGAUUUAACCCUUAAAGACUUCUAGAGGGAACAUUACAAUAUCCGUUCCUGUAUGAGGUUAAUUGAGAAAUCCGGGGCCAAUAUCUUUCUAAGGACACUGAGAUUUGCCCGUGUCAGGAGACUUUUUUUUUGUACUGGGAAUCGAACUCAGGACCUUGUGCUUGCCAGGCAGGCGCUGUGCCACUGAGCUAUAGUCCCCGCCCAGGAAGAGGCUUUGAAGGCUGUGGAGCGCAGCCUGAGCCUUCACUUGACAACUUGACCAGCUAAAGUGUUCACCGUAUUUAGAGUUUAGCAGUGUCCAGGUAAAUAAAUAGAAAUAAGGGGAAAUGAAGACCUAAAGAAUGGAUUCAUUGAUGGACUGAUUGGAAGAGAUCACGCCAUGCCCUGGAAGCCUUGUUAAUAAGAAAGAAUCACUGUUAGGGCUUCAGGAAAGAGGAGGGAGUCAGGCAGAACAGCUUUUUUUGGCCCACGUCCGCGUGGGCGAGCUCCCAGCUCCAGCCCCGCCCUUGGGAAUGGGCCCCGCCCACAGGCUUGUCUCUAACCUCAACCUGCGCCUCUCAGGUCCUGUUUCUGCCUCAGGCCCCGGGUUGAGUCUACCCCGGGGACUAGAUGCGCCCUGGAAGGAAGAAACUUUAAUUUCACAGCUUGCAGGGGUCCAGAGCGCCUCGGGCCCAGCCGCGGAGCCCGGGGCCCCAGCGGGAGCGUGCGAGCGGAAGUGACGUCACGCCGGCACCCUCUCUUCCGGUCUGGUGGCCGGUUGUCAAAUUCCUUCCUUCUCAGUGGUCGCUGCGCCCGUUGCAUCUCUGCUGAGGCCGGAUAGGGGCCUUGCCGGCGGCGGGAGGGGGCGGCGGGCGCCCGAGCGUGCCCAGGGCCGCCGCGCACCCCCGUGGGGGAGGCUGGGUCGCUCCGGCCGCGUCCUUCUUCGCCUGCAGGUCCCCGGCCCGCCGGCCGUCUCGGGGGUCGUCGCAAGGGCGCCUCAGGGGGUUUGCAUCUGGCGACUCCCUUUGCAGAAGCCUCCAGAGCCGUCUGUGUGGUUUUAUUUUCCAGAAGGUAAAGAAUUUGAGACCGUCCUCGCGGAGCCGGCGUUGCGGGCUUCGGGCGACCUGUGUCCUGUGAGGGCGCGCGGCAGGCCCGGCUUUGGCUUUUCACGGCCUGUGUUUAUUUCAGACACAUUGCAUGCAGGCAGAAAGCCACCUUUCGUAAGUGUCUAGGAUGUGCCUCUUUUGGUGGAGACUGCAAGCCAUUCUGCCGAAGGAAAACAGUACUGUACUGUCCUGUUCUCUCCAUCGGAAGUGCCUAGGCCUAGGCCUUCCCACCGAACUUCCAAACAGCGAUCUGUGGGAAGGAAAGAUGGGACUUUGUUCCAUAACAGUGUUUUAAUUUGUCAUUUCCAAAAAAACCCCUUUUUUGGUGAGCUGUUUGAAAAAAUGUAAUUUUUGCAAAGCGCUGACUUGCUUAUUAAGCAUACUUGGUAACGCAUCUCUUCAAAUUAAAAAUAAUGUUCUGAAUAUAGAGCCUGUGUAAGAAAGUAAAAGUCUGCACAUUGUUCCAGCAUGUAUUUUGGGGUUAUUACGUUCUCGUACAAUUGGAGGCUUAUGUAUUGUAGGUUGUUUUAGGUCUUUAAGUCUCUGACUCCUGUUUUUCGGUUCUGUUUUCAUUGGAAAAUUCACAUAUUCUGUGAGGAACUCAUACAUUCUGAUUGUAUUCUUCCAGAAUGUUUAAAUGUUUUCUCCAUUUGUUAUAUUUUCGGAAAAUUGAUGGGUGCCUGAGUUCCACCUGAUGAUGUUCUUAGGAGCUUGUGGAGAAAGCUAAUGUGUAAUUGAGAAAGUAAAUAUGUCAUUAUAAAUUGAUAAAAGCUUGCAAGAUAGAAGACAGUGUUAGUUUCUUUUGUCUUUGGGGGAAUAUGUGAAGCUAAGACAAGAGUAAUUAACCCAAGCCCAGAAAACAAAAACAAUAGGGUGUAGGAGUCAGCCAGGCUGAAAGAAAAGGAAGAAAGGGAAUAGGAGAUGGUGAACACUUUCUAUGGACUGGCAGUUUAAAUUUGUGGAGGAGACAAAGGAGAGUGUGUUAGGGAUUGUUCCUUGGUUUGAUACUAGAGUCAUUUUUUUAUGUUUGGGGGAAAAAAGAUGGAGAAUGAAUUUAUUCUUCAGUAUAGGACAGGAAAAGUGUGAUAUUGUACCAGGGCCCCUCCCAAAGGAAUCCAGUGAGGGCCUUUUCAGAACAAAGAAAGGCCACAUGACACAAUUAGUUCCUCGAUAUGCAUAUGUAAUUCUAGCAGAGCUCUGUAACAUAGAUUGUAUCUAAUCAGGCUGUAAUAUGUUAGUGUGUUACUAUUUAAGGGAGACAAAGGCAGAAAAAUUGUAUAAAAGGCGAAACGCCCCCAUGAUCGGGGCACAGCCACUGAGGCCUGUGCCAGCACAAAUAAAGUUUCUUCCUGGAAA